UUAGUUUCUCCAGAACUCAGAAAUAUUCUAUCAUAUACACUGUUACAGAGAACUAGGAAAUGUAGAUAUUCAUGAAUAACUUCAACUAUCAAGAGGAACGGGUGGUCUGUUUCAUGUUCCUAGACACAAUAUUCCUGCUCAGAUUUGAUGGGCGACAUAAGUAUCAGUAUAACUGCAACAGCAAAUCUACAGGAUCCGGCUUGUGGACCAGCAUAUAUGUAAUGGAGAUGCCUGAUCGAAGGACCUCUUCCUAAGAAUUUGGACAAGUGAGUGAGUAAAGAGACAUGUGAGAAGAAAAGACACUGGGUCUAAUUAGCUGCGACUUCUCCCUUCA